ACCCGAAGCACCUGCACGGGAUAAAGAGCCCGAAGCACCUGCGCAGGAUAAAGAACCCGAAUUGUCUGCGCAGUCACAAGAUAACGAAGCUCUCGGCGCUGAAGGCUCAAGUGAGGAGUUAACGAUAAAUUUACUAAGGCAUUACGGGGCUUUAGGCCCAAUUAUCUUAGUGAAUGAGCUUGAGGCAUUAGGGCUCAAUCUCAUGUCUAUAAAUAGAAGGUCUAUCAUUAGAGUUGAAGGAUUCUAUUCAUUCUAGCACGACACUUAUAACAUGUAACUCUUUCGAAGUAUAGUGAAAAAUCCGAAGAACUCUCGUGGAUGUAGGUGUUGAUUUCAUGUUUCAUCAACUGCCGUCUAUGGAAAAUAGAACUAAGGCGUGAGGUUUUGCUUUCGAAAAAAUUGCGAGCUCAUCGAUCUCCGUUGUACUAGUUCAUCAAAUCAUUUUUCCAGUUUCCGGCGAUAUCACCGCCGGAUCCCGAUCAGACCAGAUUCACAAACCCCAAAGAUUUCCCAAUUUUCACUGCCAAAAUCCCCUAAUCAUCUCCAAUCGAAUUCCUUAGUACAGGUAACUGUUCAUCAGUUAAAUUUUUGGAUUCAAUGUUCUAGAAUUCUGGUCAGCUUCGCAGAUGUCUUCCCCGAUCUAGUUUUGCACCUCCCUCUUCAAAGAUUCCCCACCGCAGCUACUCCCAAUUAUCUGUUCUGAAUCUGCCCCAUUUUUUCUCUAAAAAUACUCCGAUCGAGAAAUGGGAAAUCCUCUAGAUCCGAUCCAAAAUGUGGCAAAAGGAAAUACAUCCGGCAAUGCUGGCCCCUUUUAUCUCGGUCUGAAAAUCUCAAAAUCCUAAUCGAAAAUAUCCUUAGGGGAAUGCAAGAAUUUCUGCCCAAAUCAAGAAAAACCCCCAAUUCCUAAAAUCUGGGCUCAUUCUUCAAAGAUUCUCUACCGCAGCAGCCCCCAACUUCCGGCAGGGACGUGUGCGGUUGAAAUCGAAGUUCCAACACAGACCGUCACUGUCUCUUGAAGAACCUCAAAGAAUCAUACCCCAAAAAUCCAAAAACUCCAAAACAGAUCCACUGCAAAAUCAAUUCUCCUGGAGCCAAAUCGAAGUUACAGCGAUCCCGAGCCCGCGUUAUUGGGAAUUGGGGAGUCUCAUAAAUCGGGCCCUAAAGCUUCUCAGUCACUGAACUUUCAACACAACCCAGGAACCUUUAUUCAAGGUUCGAGCGUAGGUCAGAGUGUGUGGGCCUUAGUCUUCAAUUCCGGCCAGAAGAAGGUGGGUUCGGCAACGGAUCGGGGUCUCAUGCCAGCUGAGUUUAUGAGUGCGGUGCUGAAUAUCAUCUGCUCUAGCUGCCGCAGCAGAAUAGCAGUCUCCCUGACACUGAUCGCCUGGGCACACAACAAUUCUCUAUCCUAAAUUGCAAAUUUCGGCCGUUAGUCGGUGGCUCUCUGAUCUGUUGCUUUGAGUUUCCGGAUCCUAUCUGAUCAAUGGUGGUGAUGGCUGAUCUUGACAGCUCUCUGUUCCUGCUUCGCGCAGCCUACAUCAGGGGAAAAUCGAAGAAGAUCUAUGGGCGUUUCACAGUCGCAGUUAUGACCAAGCCACUUGAUUACUGGCCCAAUUUGAUUGGGAAGACAUCAAUUUAUCAAAGAUUUCAUUCUUCUAUUUUGUGCUGCUUAUCUUGCUUGGAUUUUCUUGUAAUCCUAUCUGAUCCGCUGUGCAAAGGUACAGCAAUGCCUGAGGCAGGGGGUAGGGCUUGAUCUCCUCGAGGAAUUGUUGAUUGAUAACAUGGAGCUCAGCGAAAUAUUAUCCGAGCACGGCGGCGAUAUGGAGUCGAAGAGUAAGUAUAGCUUCCAUCAUAAAAAUGGGAAGACGAGGUCUGCUAUUUGAUUUUGGAAAUUGUGUGCGGGAUAUGCUGGUAAUUGUUUACUCGAGAGAUUAUAUGAUUCGUGAUGUUUUAGUGGUCCUAGCAAAGAUCAAAGACUUAAAUAUCGAGCUUUGUGUAGUCUUCUGCCUGGGGCUUAGAUGAACAUAUUGAUGCAUCAGAAUGCUUGAGUUCUCCAAGUUUAGUAUGCCUAGUUAAUGGUUAACAGUUGUGUGUGAUGUGAAAAUCAUUUAAGAUGUUUGUCAAUUGCUAUUAACAAGCUUGCAUGUUUUAGCUAAUGGUUGAACUGAACAUAUACUACAAUUAUAUGUGUUUGAUUUA